rnacentral:misc_RNA from 1 species
AGUCAAGCACGUCGGCGUUGUCUUCUGAUGGGCCGCUCUACUGGUAUUCUGCCGUGGAAGUGAUGUUGCGCUUACUUUAAAAACGGGCUAAUGACAACUUGCACAAACUUUGUACAGCAGCGGCCCAAGCUCCUUGUGACUCUGACCAGCGAUUUCCAUCUGGAGCACACAUGUGAUCGCUGCCAAUGGUCGCCCAAAUCUGUUGUCGCAACAGGUUCUUGACAGUGGCCGUCUGCUUUUUCGUCGCCUGGCUCGUUGUGCAGUUGAUCACGACACAGCAAUGCCUCACUCAAAGCCGAACCAACGUAGUCUCGGGAAGCUGGAAGCACUCCUGCCUACGGAAAAUAGUCGACAGCUUAGUGUCGUCAGGCGUUCAUUCAGACUGCAUAGCGGCGGUCGAGAAACUUGCCGACGGCCAGCGGCAGCGGGUCAUUUAUGCAAUAACGCCCACGUACACACGUCCUGUUCAAGAAGCCGAACUGACGCGGCUUUCUCAUACAUUUCGUCUGGUCCCGUACUUGCACUGGAUCGUUGUAGAAGACUCAACUGUCCGAACAGCUUUGGUGUCAGACUUAUUAGCUCGUUGCGGUGUGGCCUUCACCCAUCUGUAUGCUGCUACACCAGCUGAUCGCAAGCUGAAGCCUGAAGACCCCAGCUGGCUUCUUCCAAAGGGCGUCCUCCAGAGAAAUGAAGGCCUACGCUGGCUUCGAACCAAUGCAGAGCAUCUGGAUCCCAAUGGCAUAGUCUACUUCGCUGAUGAUGACAACACUUAUGAUCUACGUCUGUUUGACGAGAUGCGAAAGACUGUCAAAGUGUCUGUUUGGCCUGUGGGUUUGGUUGGAGGCUUGAUGGUUGAGCGGCCAAUUGUUAGAGACAGUCAUGUUGUCGGCUGGAACGCUGUCUGGAAACCAUACAGGCGUUAUCCCCUGGACAUGGCAGGUUUCGCCGUGUCCCUGCGGCUACUUCUUGACAACCCUGACGCCCAGUUUCGACUUCGGCUUCCCCGUGGUCAGCAGGAAUCUUACUUGCUGAAGCAGCUUCUGUCUGGGCCAGAGGAGUUGGAGCCUCGUGCUGGAAACUGCACUCAAGUUCUUGUGUGGCACACUCGCACCGAGAAGCCCAAGCUAGAUCAGGGACGCCCCAGCAAGGCUGGAAACAUGAAACAACCAAAGCAAGUCGCUGCAAAGCCACGCCUCCAGGCGUAGGUGCCUUGUGAAGCGACUGAUGUUUGUGUGUGUUAAAACAGUGCAGCACGGGACACUUGGUUGCCAUGCCAGCAAGCGCCUGUGCUCAACAUAUGCUUGGACUACAGUUAUGCUCGAUUAUUUAGGCAACAGACCCUUCCGCUUUCGUGCAAAGAGCCAUAACAUUGCUCCACUGUUGCGAUGAGCACCUGGAGUGGUAAUCUAGGUCAAUCACUUUUGGGCUACGUUCACUUUCAUGAUUUUUUUCGUGGCUUGGCAUCAGACAUUAGUGUGUGCAAGGAAUAUCAUUCUUUGCACUGUGCCAGCAUGCCCAGAACUGUGCGAGAUACUGUUGCCCUCGGAUGCUGACGUGCUAGUGCUGAGUAAUUUGGCCAUACCCACAAAAGUAAUUGACCGAGAAUACAGCCCUUGUUUGUGCAAUGGUGCUCCUGCCGCCCAUUUAGUCAGCAUAUACGUACAAUGACGCAAGCAAUGCUGAUGAAGUGUUUGUCCAAGGGCAAGCACCUUUUUUGUUGUUG